rnacentral:rRNA from 1 species
UAAUCUUAUCUGGUAAAGCGAAUGAUUAGAGGCAUUAGGGUCGAAACGACCUUAACCUAUUCUCAAACUUUAAAUGGGUAAGAACCUAACCUUUCUUGAUAUGAAGGUUCNAGGUUGUGAUAUAUUGUGCCCAGUGGGCCACUUUUGGUAAGCAGAACUGGCGCUGUGGGAUGAACCAAACGUAAUGUUACGGUGCCCAAAUUAACAACUCAUACAGAUACCAUGAAAGGCGUUGGUUGCUUAAAACAGCAGGACGGUGGACAUGGAAGUCGUAAUCCGCUAAGGAGUGUGUAACAACUCACCUGCCGAAGCAACUAGCCCUUAAAAUGGAUGGCGCUUAAGUUGUAUACCUAUACAUUACCGCUAAAGUAGAUGGUUUA